AAGACCUUGCGCUUUUGGAGCGGCCGAUGUCUGAUUAGCCUGUUGGUGAGGUAAAAGCUUACCAAGGCUUCGAUCAGUAGCUGGUCUGAGAGGACGGCCAGCCACACUGGGACUGAGACACGGCCCAGACUCCUACGGGAGGCAGCAGUGGGGAAUUUUGGACAAUGGGGGCAACCCUGAUCCAGCCAUGCCGCGUGAGUGAAGAAGGCCUUCGGGUUGUAAAGCUCUUUCAGCCGGAACGAAACGGUUACGGUUAAUACCCGUGACUACUGACGGUACCGGAAGAAGAAGCACCGGCUAACUACGUGCCAGCAGCCGCGGUAAUACGUAGGGUGCAAGCGUUAAUCGGAAUUACUGGGCGUAAAGCGUGCGCAGGUGGUUUUGUAAGUCAGAUGUGAGAUCCCCGGGCUUAACCUGGGAACU
rnacentral:rRNA from 1 species